CUCAGUAACCAUGGCAAGUCCAGAUGGCUGCCUUAGGAUCAGAUGUAAACCUUGGAGAAACCAGCUGUGGCCAGUAUGUCAAGUUUAAGCAGACAAAUGAAGGUGACCUGUGGUGGGAAUACACAUUUUGAAACUGAAAAGAGAUGGUAUGUGGGGAUGUACGGAGAACUUGUUGGAGUCUCUGUUGUGGACAACGCUUUAUGUGGUUUCAAGCUUCACAUACAAAAAAAAAGAAGGAAAGUGGCAGCACCCAAAAAAGAUCAAAACAAGGCAAGGAUCUCUGCUCUCGACCCAUCUAUUCAAUAUUGAACUAGAGGUCCCAG
rnacentral:lncRNA from 1 species